GCGCCAUACCUCCGUCUCAGCACAGCACAGCCGACGCAGCACAACUGCACAAGAUGGCCGCUCACGGCUCGCCCGCUCCUCGCCUGGCCGGCCGACCGCCUGCUCGUCCGUCCACGGCCGUGGCCGCUGCCCGCCUCCGUCUCUGGCUCUGGCUCUGGCUUGCUGCUUCCUGCGGGCUGCGGUCCUACAUGGCCGCCUCUGCCUUCCUGCUGUGUGCGGCUCGUUGGGCGUUGGCCGCCCGGCGGCCGCACGGUCGUGCUCCACCUCCACUGCUCCACGACUGCUUCUGCUUGCCUGCUUUGUUGCUUGCUUUGAUGUUUGCUUUGCUUUGCUGUGCCUGCUCCGCCUGCUUCGGUCGUGCUCCACUGCUCCGCCUGCUUGCUUUGCUGCUUGCAAAUUCGGCUGCUUGCAAAUUGCAAAUUCUCCUAGACGUAACUAAAAUAAUUGUUGAUUGGCAUAUAAUCUAUAAGGGAUUCUUCAUCUAAG
rnacentral:misc_RNA from 1 species